rnacentral:rRNA from 1 species
ACAGAGGGCUUGAGCGUUGCGCGGAGUCACUGGGCUUAAAGCGUACGUAGGCGGGCGUGCAGGCAUCGUGUGAAAUCCCCCGACUCAACCGGGGAACUGCUCGGUGAACCGCACGUCUUGAGGUCAGUAGGGGCGGUCGGAACGAUAGGUGGAGCGGUGAAAUGCGUAGAUAUCUAUCGGAACGCCGAAGGUGAAGACAGGCCGCUGGGCCUGUCCUGACGCUCAGGCACGAAAGCGUGGGGAGCAAACAG